GAUGAACGCUGGCGGCGUGCCUAAUACAUGCAAGUAGAACGCUGAAGGCGGACCUUGCUCUUCUGGAUGAGUUGCGAACGGGUGAGUAACACGUAGGUAACCUGCCUUGUAGCGUGGGAUAACUUUUGGAAACGAUAGCUAAUACCGCAUGACAACAGCUAUUGCAUGAUAACUGUUGAAAAGUGGCAACUGCUGCACUACCAGAUGGACCUGCGUUGUAUUAGGUAGUUGGUGAGGUAACGGCACACCAAGGCGGCGAUACAUAGCCGACGGGCGAGGGGGAGCAGCCACACUGGGAGGGAGACACGGCCCAGUGGCACUCGGGAGGGAGCAGGAGGGCAACGGGGGGCAUGGGCGGAAGACUGAGCGAGAAACGCCGCGUGAGUGAAGAAGGUUGUCGGGUGGGAAAGGUCGGUUGUAAGGGAAGAACGAGUGUGAGAGUGGAAAGUACACAGUGUGACGGUAACUGAUCAGAAAGCGACGGCUAACUACGUG
rnacentral:rRNA from 1 species